rnacentral:rRNA from 1 species
GACGAACGCUGGCGGCGUGCCUAACACAUGCAAGUCGAGCGGAGUCGAUCGACGGAAGCCUUCGGGCGGAAGAUGGUUGACUUAGCGGCGGAUGGGUGAGUAACGCGUGGGCAACCUGCCUCGAAGACCGGGAUAACAGCCCGAAAGGGCUGCUAAUACCGGAUGUGGUCAAGGAUCCGCAUGGAUCUUUGAUUAAAGGGGAAACCCGUUUCGAGAUGGGCCCGCGUCCUAUCAGCUAGUUGGUGAGGUAAAAGCUCACCAAGGCGACGACGGGUAGCCGGCCUGAGAGGGUGACCGGCCACACUGGAACUGAGACACGGUCCAGACUCCUACGGGGGCAGCAGUGGGGAAUCUUCCACAAUGGGCGAAAGCCUGAUGGAGCGACGCCGCGUGAGCGAAGAAGGCCUUCGGGUUGUAAAGCUCUGUCUGGAGGGACGAAGGAAGUGACGGUACCUCCGGAGGAAGCCACGGCUAACACGUG